rnacentral:rRNA from 1 species
GACGAACGCUGGCGGCGUGCUUAACACAUGCAAGUCGAACGGAAAGGCCCUGCUUUUGUGGGGUGCUCGAGUGGCGAACGGGUGAGUAACACGUGAGUAACCUGCCCUUGACUUUGGGAUAACUUCAGGAAACUGGGGCUAAUACCGGAUAGGAGCGCCUGCUGCAUGGUGGGGGUUGGAAAGUUUCGGCGGUUGGGGAUGGACUCGCGGCUUAUCAGCUUGUUGGUGGGGUAGUGGCUUACCAAGGCUUUGACGGGUAGCCGGCCUGAGAGGGUGAUCGGCCACAUUGGGACUGAGAUACGGCCCAGACUCCUACGGGAGGCAGCAGUGGGGAAUAUUGCACAAUGGGCGGAAGCCUGAUGCAGCAACGCCGCGUGCGGGAUGACGGCCUUCGGGUUGUAAACCGCUUUCGCCUGUGACGAAGCGUGAGUGACGGUAAUGGGUAAAGAAGCACCGGCUAACUACGUG